rnacentral:rRNA from 1 species
AUUGAACGCUGGCGGCAUGCUUUACACAUGCAAGUCGAACGGUAACAGGCCGCAAGGUGCUGACGAGUGGCGAACGGGUGAGUAAUGCAUCGGAACGUGCCCAGUCGUGGGGGAUAACGCAGCGAAAGCUGCGCUAAUACCGCAUACGAUCUGUGGAUGAAAGCGGGGGACCGAAAGGCCUCGCGCGAUUGGAGCGGCCGAUGUCAGAUUAGGUAGUUGGUGGGGUAAAGGCCCACCAAGCCAACGAUCUGUAGCUGGUCUGAGAGGACGACCAGCCACACUGGGACUGAGACACGGCCCAGACUCCUACGGGAGGCAGCAGUGGGGAAUUUUGGACAAUGGGCGCAAGCCUGAUCCAGUAAUGCCGCGUGCAGGAAGAAGGUCUUCGGGUUGUAAACUGCUUUUGUACGGAACGAAACGGUCCGGGUUAAUACCCUGGGCUAAUGACGGUACCGUAAGAAUAAGCACCGGCUAACUACGUGCCAGCCGCCGCAGUAAUAC